UGUCAGAUAGCUCAGUCAGUACAGCAACUGAUUCGUAAUCGCUGGUUCGGAGGAUCGACUCCUUCUCCCUCCUCGA
rnacentral:tRNA from 1 species